rnacentral:rRNA from 1 species
UACGGGGGGAGCAAGCGUUGUUCGGAUUUACUGGGCGUAAAGGGCGCGUAGGCGGCGUGACAAGUCACUUGUGAAAUCUCCGGGCUUAACUCGGAACGGUCAAGUGAUACUGUCGGACUAGAGUACAGAAGGGGCAACUGGAAUUGCCGGUGUAGUGGUGAAAUGCGUAGAGAUCGGCAGGAACACCCAGGGGGAAACCAGCCGACUGGGCAUCUACUGACGCUGAGGUGCGAGAGCGUGGGGAGCGAACCGG